UACGUAGGGUGCAAGCGUUACUCGGAAUUACUGGGCGUAAAGCGUGCGCAGGCGGUUAUGUAAGACAGGUGUGAAAUCCCCGGGCUUAACCUGGGAACUGCAUUUGUGACUGCAUAGCUAGAGUACGGUAGAGGGGGAUGGAAUUCCGCGUGUAGCAGUGAAAUGCGUAGAUAUGCGGAGGAACACCGAUGGCGAAGGCAAUCCCCUGGGCCUGCACUGACGCUCAUGCACGAAAGCGUGGGGAGCAAACAGG
rnacentral:rRNA from 1 species